GGGGGAAUAUUGGGCAAUGGGCGAAAGCCUGACCCAGCAACGCCGCGUGAGGGAAGAAGGGUUUCGGCUCGUAAACCUCUGUCCUAUGGGACGAAGGAAGUGACGGUACCAUAGGAGGAAGCCCCGGCUAACUACGUGCCAGCAGCCGCGGUAAUACGUAGGGGGCGAGCGUUGUCCGGAAUGAUUGGGCGUAAAGGGCGCGUAGGCGGCCUGGUAAGUCUGGAGUGAAAGUCCUGCUUUUAAGGUGGGAAUUGCUUUGGAUACUGCUGGGCUUGAGUGCAGG
rnacentral:rRNA from 1 species